UUAUUAUUAUUAUUAUUAUUACUAGUGUGGGACACCCUUUAUUAUUAUUACAACUUCAGUGGGAAUAUAGUUUUGGGUUAAGGGAAAGCAACAAAAACCAUUUGAAAGAAGAAACAAGGCCAAAGAAAAGGGCAGGAAAUUUUCCAUUGUACCAUAACACAUAGGAAAUAGAAUACAACUCAGAAACUGCAUGAUUGUAGUAUAAUUAAUUUAUCUAUUUAAACUUGUUGGGAAUACUCCGUUGAGUUGAGUGAUAUUUAUUUGGUAGUGACCAUUCUACUAAUUCUCAUUUCUUUUGUAGACAUGAUCCAACAUCUUAGGUACUGCUAGAUGUGAUGCAUUUUAAUGAUGCAUCAAGUUUCAAAUUGGUGGGUGAGAGGCAAUAGAGGAGGGCCUUAAAAUGCAUAAGGGACAUGGUAAAAGGAAUGGAAAAUCCAAUGUAGAAAUCGAUUAUAAUAAUUAAAAAGUCAUAACAGAGCAUUUGACAACUACAAAACCUUUACAUUGAAAGAAGGAUUAGAAGCGAUAUGAGAUGGUUAUUGUCACAGAAAUGACUGUAGAACCCAAUUAGCUACAGGGUUAAAACACGUGGUACUAAAAUUGUAAAAUGGAACCCUGAAAUUUCACUUAACAUCAUUUCAAUUAAAUAAGUUCUGAAAGAUGUAUGUUAAGAAGGUAUUACUGGGUAUUGGUGAGGAAAUGAUCCUACAGGCUACAGGCCAAUCCUCUGUGCAGAACUAUGUUCACUUUAUAAUGCAGACAAUGUACGAUAAGCCCUUAAUAUUAAAUCACUAAGCAUUGAAAUUGAUUUUUAGAAAAGCAGUUUGAGACAUAGGAAAUGGAAGCUAGGUACUGAGAGGGAGGAGAGUUGAUGGUAAACUGAGGCGAAACACAUCCAUUUUCCAAAUUUUCAGUUUCUUUGGUUUGGUGCUUCUCAUAACAGGUUACUGCUUGUGCCAAAUGCAACUCAGAGAAAGGUCAGAAAACUAUAGAAGAGGCAAAUAUGAAGCUCAUUAAGGUCCCCAAGGUAUUAUUUAGUUCAUUUCUUACUCUUUUAAAGGAACUGAUGGCUGUAACUCAAAAAUCAUUUCUUUAAAAAUAGAGAUAAUCCUUCUUUGGUUGCAAGUGGAAAUAAAUGCUAUUAUCUUAUCCAAUGUAUGGAUGAAGAACCAGAUGACUUGUCAAGAUGAUUAUCAGUGCUAAAAGUAGCCAAUGCAUGAAGUUUCAUCAACUGAAACAUGGCAAACAAAUAACUCUUUAUCCUUUUUCUUGCAGGCCCCAAAAGACUUUAACAUACUCGCCAUAACACUGACAAGUGCAGCAAUAAAGAUGCUGAAGAUGAGAAAAGGGACGCCUGAAGAGUGGCAUCAAUAUUUGGCAACACCAUCCUCAGAGCCAUGACAUCCAUCCUUUGGUAAAAGCUGUAAAUCUGGUGCUUUAUACAUAUAAUUUAUCACCUGGUUCUUCUAAAAGCACAUUAAAAUGUAUGUAUUCAAGAUGCAAUAUGACUUACAUAGAUUUUCUUAUUUGCUUUCUGAAUAGAUUAACUCAUUUUUACAUAACAUCUACCUAAUGUAUUAUCCAGGUAUCCUUGCAUUGUAUUUAAGGACUUUGUUAUGUUCCAAAAUCCAAUUUUAAGUGCAUAAGCUGAUCAAAAGUUACAAAAAGUAGAUUUCUGGAUGGCAUUCUUCCAAUCUGAGUGAUUAUUUUUAUUCAAUCCAUCUCAAUAAUGGCAAUGACUUUUGCUGCUUUGCUGGGCUGAGAAAAUUUUGAUUGAUAAGUAUCUAUUAGGCUAGUUCUUGAUAUCCAUAAGGAAGUCAUUCAUGACAAAAGUAACCUUUACUCUCUCUUUGCUUGUGCAUGAUUCCUCCUCUUAAUUAAUAUCCUGGCUCGUCCUACUCCAUUUGUUUGUGUACCUUCUUGAAUCCCAAAUUUAAUGAAGUUGAGCAUAUGGAAAUGGAAUCUUUUUCUUAGCUGUAUGUUUCAAGUAAUGGGGCAAGUUAUGGAGUGGAAAGGUGCUGUCAUGCUUGUGGACUUUUUAGCAUAUGUAUGGACAGAAUCAUAUCCUGGGCACAUUUUUUUUCCUUUUUACUCUGCCUCAUUAUUAUUAGUAUUAUCCAUAUACUUGCCACUCCUCAUCUUCACAAUAAUUG
rnacentral:misc_RNA from 1 species